CAUUACAAGAAAAACAUAUUAACCAAAUCAAGACCAAAACCUUUUAACAGAUACAACUAAAUCAAUGCCAAACCCUCUCUAAAAAAAACACAGAAAAAAUCAGUGACAAACCCGAACCAAAUCAAGGCCAAAAUCUUCCUCCAUGGUUUGAAUGUCAAUUUUGUGGCGAAAAUUCUAAAUUUGCAGGUCCCAAUUUAUGCCAGAGCUCUGCAUCUCAAGCACCUUUUAGAUCUGAAGAAAGCAGGUGCAACAGAUGCUGUUUUGGAAAGUGCAGAGACAAGUUUGCAGCUGGGCUCUAAGCUUUUGAAAGGGCUUGGAGUUAUGUCUGAUGAUGUGAACUUUCUCCGUCAGCUCUUUCGUGAUUCUAUGGAGCUGCAACCUCAAAAAGGAGUGAGCAAAACUGAUGAUAGAGAAUUUAAUAGUCUGAAGCCUAUGCAGGUGAGAGUUGCUGAUUUAUUGAUGACGCGGUACCCGUUCCAUCCAUGUCAUUAGAAGGCGAAUCAUGGGGGGCAACCAAGGAAGAUGGUUCUUAUAUCUUGACAAUUGAGGGGGACGCGGAUGAAGCAAAUCCCGAAAACAGUGAGCUCCAACGGUCUGAGCGUACAGAAGAGGAAGGAGUUUCACAUAGUGGCUUAGAAACAGAGAACGGUUUUGCAAUUAAAUCACAAGAUGUUGACGGAUCAACUCUUGUUACACAACUGAAGAUGAAGUGUAGUGUAGUAUAGGGAGAAAAAUAGUGUAAAGCUUGAUUUUUCACUCCAGUGAACUCACAAUUCCUUGAAGGUGUCAAAAACUGGUCUGCUAAAAUUUGUUUCAGGAAAAGUAGCAGGGGGUGCUAA